CACCAUAGCAAUCUGUGGUACUAUCCUUCGACUUCAUGUCAUCGUUGGAUCUGUACCACGCGCUAAUGAAGUACGUGGAAUUCUUCGGGUCAUCAUACACAAGUUGCAAAGUAAUCAUAAUGAGCGGCAGCUCAAUGCUAUAUAUGCCUUGUGGAGUAUGAGGAAGGGGACAGCAUGCGGGUACUGCCUUGCCAUCAUGAAUUUCAUACAUCAUGUAUAGACAAGUGGCUUAAGGAGAUUCACAGGGUAUGUCCACUUUGCCGCGGGGAUGUUUGCAGAUCUGGUUCAUUGGAUGCAGAGAACUGAAGGAAGGUUAUUUUGCAAAUCCGAUUGCCCACAGAACUCCAGCGUGACAAAAUGAAUUCUAAAACUAGUUUGUGACAAAAAGCUUAAGUCCUUUUCCAUCCGGACAUUGAUUAUCGGCUUUGGUUCCAACAUUUGGAACUAUGGCUUUGGAGUUUGUGGUAUCUUAGAGAACAGGGUGGGGGGUGGUGCCGUGGUGGCAGCAUAGAAUUUGUUGUCUCAUGAUUUUUACCCCUUCACUGGAUGGACGAUGUUUAAAUAGUGUCUGAAGCAAAAAGGUCCUCUCAUCUUAACCUUGUAGCUUUCUUAAAUUGAAACAAAAUUGAAAAAAGAAAAAGAUACUAAUUGCAUUUAACAGGUGGUAUAGCGGAACGAAUGCAAGUUCUAGACCAGGAACUAGAAAAAAGCAUGAACCCGAUAUUUGACUCGCGUUGUCUGUUGGUGUGGUAGGUAGUAGGUGCUGAUGAGCUGUUUGCUUGAUUUUAAACUCAUGCCUUUGAUCAACAAA